UUGUAAAAAUCAAAGGUGUAACCUGCCCAAUGAUCUUAAAAUUAAUAAGAAUAACUUUUUUAUAAUAAGAUUUAAAGGACGCAGUAUCCUGACUGUGAUAAUGUAGCAUAAUCAUUCGCCAUUUAAUUGAUGGAUAGUAUGAAUGGUUGAACGAAUUCUUCACUGUCUUAAAAAGAGAACUUAUGAAAUUAAAAUAAUAGUAAAGAUGCUAUUUAAAAUUGUAAGACGAAAAGACCCUAUAGAGCUUAACUACAAUUUCUUUUAAAAAAAUAGAAUAAAAUCCUAAAAUAAAGAGAUAGGUAGUUUAGUUGGGGCGACUAUCUUCUAAAAAUAACGAAGACAAGCAAUAUUAAUGAACAAAUUUAUUGUAUAACCAAUGAGUUUAACAAUUAUAAAAGUAGGCCAUAAUGACCCGUUUUUAUUAAAUAAUAAAAAAAAACGAUCAAUAAAUAAAAGCUACCUUAGGGAUAACAGGAUAAUUUUGUUCUAGAGACCAUAUCGAAAACAAAGUUUGUCACCUCUAUGUUGAAUUAAGAUAUCCUGAUAAUGCAGAAGUUAUCAAAGGUAGGUCUGUUCGACCUUUAAA
rnacentral:rRNA from 1 species